rnacentral:lncRNA from 1 species
UUAUUUCCUACUGCAACAAGAGUCAAUGGCAGAUACUUGCCCCCUCAUUUAUCUCUUGAGAAGGGGUAUUGAUUAUCAUGAUCCAUCUAAUUAUGUUGAGCAUUAUCCAUUGAUACCCAUUGGGAAAAUUAACUAGACUACUAGCAUUAGCUAGUGUGUGAAAGAUCUCUACUCAAUGCUAUUGUGAACAUCUCUCUUUUAGGCUUUUAAUUAGCCAUCUAACCUGUUAGUAAUGAUUAAGUACAUCGCUUUAUUCAGAGGAAAUGAGGCAGGACCACCGACAUUGAUCAGUUCUCUUUUUUAGGGGAUACAACACUGAUCAGUUCUGGCACUUCAAUUCAUGGCUACAUCAAUCUGCGAUGUACCUUUCUGCUUCUGUCGUACGUGUUUAACAUUUUCUUUUACAUCCACAAUCUAUGUGCUAUGACACCCUAAGGACUACUGUGGUAAUCAGGAGCCUCGCGAGGAAUCUUUCUUGUGCGCAGUGAUGGUCAUGGUUUCUCUUGGCUUUUCAUAUGAUCAUAAAGCAAUACAAGACAUAUAUCUUCAUUUUCUUCAAAAACCAAGGAUUAGCAUAUGAUAAUGGUUAGUAAAUG